AGUCGAGGGGUAUGGUUCUUCGGAACCAGAGACCGGCGCACGGGUGCGUAACGCGUAUGCAAUCUGCCUUUCACAGAGGGAUAGCCCAGAGAAAUUUGGAUUAAUACCUCAUAGUAUAGCGACAUCGCAUGAUGAUGCUAUUAAAGUCACAACGGUGAAAGAUGAGCAUGCGUCCCAUUAGCUAGUUGGUAAGGUAACGGCUUACCAAGGCAACGAUGGGUAGGGGUCCUGAGAGGGAGAUCCCCCACACUGGUACUGAGACACGGACCAGACUCCUACGGGAGGCAGCAGUGAGGAAUAUUGGUCAAUGGGCGCAAGCCUGAACCAGCCAUGCCGCGUGCAGGAUGACGGUCCUAUGGAUUGUAAACUGCUUUUGCACAGGAAGAAACACUGAUUCGUGAAUCAGCUUGACGGUACUGUGAGAAUAAGGAUCGGCUAACUCCGUGCCAGCAGCCGCGGUAAUACGGAGGAUCCAAGCGUUAUCCGGAAUCAUUGGGUUUAAAGGGUCCGUAGGCGGUCUGGUAAGUCAGUGGUGAAAGCCCAUCGCUCAACGGUGGAACGGCCAUUGAUACUGCUGGACUUGAAUUAUUAGGAAGUAACUAGAAUAUGUAGUGUAGCGGUGAAAUGCUUAGAGAUUACAUGGAAUACCAAUUGCGAAGGCAGGUUACUACUAAUGGAUUGACGCUGAUGGACGAAAGCGUGGGUAGCGAACAGGAUUAGAUACCCUGGUAGUCCACGCCGUAAACGACGGAUACUAGCUGUUGGAAGCAAUUUCAGUGGCUAAGCGAAAGUGAUAAGUAUCCCACCU
rnacentral:rRNA from 1 species